rnacentral:lncRNA from 1 species
GCGGAGGUUGCAGUGAGCCGAGAUUGCACCACUGCACUCCAGCCUGGGUGACAGAGCGAAACCCUAUCUCAAAAAAAAAAAAAAAAAAAAAGAAAAAAAUAGAAAAUCCAAAAAGAAAAACCAAAAGUCCUGCUGGAAUCCCUGGCGGGUUUCUGAGAAAUCGCCCUGUGCUGUCAGCCCCUGCCCUGCACUGCUGCCUUCCGUGGUGGGUGGGAGACCCCAGAGCAGGGCAGGCGCUACUGAGGGCCUUUCUUGGAGUUGGCCGGCAGGCCACACAGCAUCCGGCACCCUGGGUGGGCUGGCUGGCCACCUUCUUAGGACGUCUCUACUUUGGAGGAUUUUACUGCAGGAAGCAGCGGCAGUGCUGGCCAUUGGCGCUGAUGACAACAUUGGGUUUGGUUGAGGGGAAGGGGCUGGAAAGCAGCAGGCCCCCCAGUGCUGCACAUGGUCCCGGAGCCGUCGGCCAGGGGAGUGGGGUCAGUGGUCAGCCAGCCCUCCCAUUUCCUGCCUAUGGGCCCUGACCACACUCCCUUUUCUAGAAGUCAAUCCUAAGGUUUCUCUGCUCUGGCUAAGAGGGAUGUAAAUUUGGAUUCUUGGAGGGCAUCACACCCCCAGUCCCUGCCCAGAUAAAGUGGCACAAUGGCAUGCGGCACCUCUUUCUGUUGCUGGGGUGGGGGGCUCACACACCCACCUCAUCUCUGUGCAGAGCCCUGACUGGCCCCGCCGGCAGCUGGAGUACAGGUAAGGGCCUCUCUCAGAGGGGAGCUGUAGCCGGGAACUGGCAAGGCCCCUUCCUGCAAGGCCCUAGCUGGCCUCUGGGUGAACCUGAGGUGGCAGGUUCAAGUUUUCAAGAUGGUGAGGUCUUGUCUGCUGGACAGGACAUUAUGCUCUCAGAACUCAUGGGAGUGGAGCUGGGCCUGUCCUGGGCCAGUGGACCCCUGUGUGGGGGGAAUUUGGGGUGCUGCGGGCCUGAUUCUGCACUGGCAGAUGGACUUUGCUUUAAUCCAGCUCUUUCCUUACCCUGGCUCUGACGUGGGAAGGCUUGGAGGGCCCCUCUCAUCACCCAUGCUGGCCCUCAGCUGUCCCUUUCCUUUGUCGCCUGGCUCCUGCCUGAGGCCUCCUAGCAGGCAGGCAGCGUGUGCAGUGGUGGCCGGCCAGGGUGCCACAGAUGUACGGAGAUGUGGCGUGUGGCUCCGGGCCCUCAACAUCUCUGCUUUGGAGGAUUUUACCUUGUCUGCACACCUGUCAGGGGAGAGGGGACAGCAAGGUGGGAGGUUGAAGAGCUUUGAGGCUCAGCAGCAUGUUUGUGGCAUUCGGUGGACUCCGUGGCCUUGGGCAGCUGGACAGGUUUUUGUGAUGUGA